rnacentral:rRNA from 1 species
UACGUAGGUGGCGAGCGUUGUCCGGAUUUACUGGGCGUAAAGAGCGCGCAGGCGGCUGGUCAAGUCCGAUGUGAAAGCUCCCGGCUUAACUGGGAAAUUGCAUCGGAAACUGAUCGGCUGGAAGGUGGGAGAGGGUAGCGGAUUCCCGGUGUAGUGGUGAAAUGCGUAGAUAUCGGGAGGAACACCAGUGGCGAAAGCGGCUACCUGGCCCAUUCUUGACGCUGAGGCGCGAAAGCUAGGGGAGCAAACGGG